rnacentral:rRNA from 1 species
GACAGAGGUGCCGAGCGUUAGGCGGAAUCACUGGGCUUAAAGCGUGUGUAGGCGGAUGCCUGAGUACCUUGUGAAAUCCCACGGCUCAACCGUGGAACUGCUUGGUAUACUGGGUGUCUUGAGCCACUUAGGGGCAACCGGAACAAACGGUGGAGCGGUGAAAUGCGUAGAUAUCGUUUGGAACGCCAAUGGUGAAAACAGGUUGCUGGGAGUGUGCUGACGCUGAGACACGAAAGCCAGGGGAGCAAACGGG